UGUAGAUAAGGACACUGAGGCAGCCAGGGAUUAAGUAAGUGGGUCACAUUUGCCCUGCUGGUACGAGGUACAUGAACCCUGGAAUGGGAAUUAGAAGGCCAUGCUCUCCUUUUGCUUCUGCCGCAAAGCAGCCUCUACAGGUAUUAUCAAAGAGAAGAUGAGAACCCUGAACUAAGAGGACCUCACAAGCCUGUAGUGAAGGAAGACCCUGUUGCCAAGAUGAGGUGCAGACGGUGGAGUUAAUCAUUCUCCUCAGUUCCUACUUGGUGAAUGUUUCAUGCAUUCGUGUGAAGAGAGUCCACCAAACAGGCUUUGUGU